AACCAAGAUGAUUCCUUCUCCAAGGGGCUUAAGAAUGUCCCUCUUCAGGAAAGUGGCAGCUUGGAAUAAAAUCCAGCACGCCAUGGGUAUUCGGGGGAGAACGUAAUGGAGUACUUUCCUUUGCUUUCCUACAUGA